CCCCCCUCAUGUGAGAGGCGGCCGUCGAGGGGGGCGGCCGGGCGCACCGCGACCCGCCAGUGCCACGGGAGAAAAUGACAUCGCGGAGAUGGUUUCAUCCAAAUAUUACUGGGGUGGAGGCAGAAAACCUGCUGUUAACAAGAGGAGUAGAUGGCAGUUUUUUGGCACGGCCUAGCAAAAGUAACCCAGGAGAUUUUACGCUGUCUGUUAGACGAACUGGAGCUGUCACGCACAUCAAGAUCCAGAACACAGGAGACUACUAUGACCUCUAUGGAGGAGAGAAGUUUGCUACAUUGGCUGAGUUAGUCCAGUAUUAUAUGGAACAUCAUGGACAGCUCAAGGAAAAGAAUGGAGAUGUUAUAGAGUUAAAAUAUCCACUGAACUGUGCUGAUCCUACAUCUGAAAGGUGGUUUCAUGGGCAUCUCUCCGGAAGAGAAGCUGAAAAACUGUUAACAGAAAAAGGAAAACAUGGAAGCUUUCUUGUGCGUGAGAGUCAAAGCCACCCUGGGGACUUUGUUCUUUCUGUCCGGACAGGAGAUGAUAAAGGAGAGAGUAACGAUGGGAAAUCUAAAGUGACACAUGUCAUGAUUCACUGCCAGGAUCUAAAAUAUGAUGUUGGUGGAGGGGAGAAAUUUGACUCUCUGACAGAUCUAGUGGAACAUUACAAGAAGAACCCUAUGGUAGAAACUUUGGGCACAGUAUUGCAACUCAAGCAGCCUCUGAAUACUACCCGUAUUAAUGCUGCAGAGAUUGAAAGCAGAGUGCGAGAGCUAAGCAAGCUAGCAGAGACUACAGAUAAAGUCAAGCAGGGCUUCUGGGAAGAAUUUGAGACUUUACAGCAGCAAGAAUGCAAACUCCUCUAUAGCCGUAAAGAAGGUCAGCGUCAAGAAAACAAAAACAAAAAUAGAUACAAAAACAUUUUACCCUUUGAUCAUACCAGAGUUGUUCUACAUGAUGGUGAUCCAAAUGAACCUGUUUCAGACUAUAUCAAUGCUAAUAUUAUUAUGCCUGAGUUCGAAACCAAGUGCAACAACUCAAAGCCAAAAAAAAGCUACAUUGCUACUCAAGGUUGCCUACAGAAUACAGUGAAUGAUUUUUGGAGGAUGGUGUUCCAGGAGAAUUCUCGAGUUAUUGUUAUGACAACAAAAGAAGUUGAAAGAGGAAAGAGUAAGUGUGUCAAGUACUGGCCUGAUGAAUAUUCCCUAAAGGAGUAUGGUGUUAUGCGUGUUAGGAAUGUCAAGGAGAGUGCAGCACACGAUUACACACUAAGAGAACUUAAGCUUUCUAAAGUUGGGCAAGGGAACACAGAGAGAACAGUCUGGCAAUAUCACUUCAGAACUUGGCCUGAUCAUGGAGUCCCAAGUGACCCUGGUGGUGUACUAGACUUUCUAGAGGAGGUGCACCAUAAGCAGGAGAGCAUUUCUGAUGCGGGACCAGUUGUGGUCCACUGCAGUGCUGGGAUUGGGCGAACAGGAACUUUCAUUGUGAUUGAUAUUCUUAUUGACAUAAUCAGAGAAAAAGGUGUGGACUGUGAUAUUGAUGUUCCAAAGACCAUUCAGAUGGUGAGGUCACAACGGUCAGGAAUGGUUCAGACAGAAGCACAGUACAGAUUUAUUUACAUGGCAGUACAGCACUACAUUGAAACGCUACAGCGCAGAAUUGAAGAGGAGCAGAAGAGUAAGAGAAAAGGUCACGAAUACACAAACAUUAAAUAUUCUUUAUCGGACCAGACAAGUGGGGAUCAGAGCCCUCUUCCACCCUGUACCCCAACCCCAACAUGUCCAGAAAUGAGAGAAGAUAGUGCUAGAGUAUAUGAAAAUGUGGGGCUGAUGCAACAGCAGAAAAGUUUCAGAUGAGAAGAUGUACAGAGACUUCCACGCAGAGGCAGAACUGAAUAUGGUUUUUAAGAAGGUCAAGAAAGAGAUGGAAGAAGCUUCACAUGAAUGGUGAACCCUGAGGGCUUGUACUAAAGACUAAUGAAAAAGGAUCCUCUUAUUAGGUGGAGUAGACCUUGCAUUUAUUUUUUUCCUGCAAUGUAUGAAGUAUUGUACCAGAGUAUUAAAUGAAAUGUAAUAUUUUAUUGAAAAAUUUCUAUCCUUUAAAAGGAAUACAUUUAGGAUGUCAUCAAUUUGAUGUGAAUCAUGUAAAUGUUGAUAAUGCGCUGUUUAUUAUACAUCUAGUGUUUCAAAAGACUCACUUAUUGCCUUUUGCCCACAUACAUUCUGUAGACCAUUUACAAUUGUCAAAAUGUGACAUUAAAAGAAUAGUUCAUGUAUAGAAAUAUUGGUGGUUGUCCAUUGUUUUCUGUGCUGGUAUUUAUGGGUCUUAGUUCAGCUGCUCUGCUAGCUGCAUUGUGAUUUUUAUUGCUGCGAAGCUAUAUUAUUGGAAAUAAAAGCAUAUCUGUAAACCUCAGAACUUCAAAAAAAGGGAAAAAAAGAAAUUAAAAAAAAAAAGAAAUAAAAAUAA